rnacentral:lncRNA from 1 species
GUUAAAUUUAAGACCUACUGGUUUCCUGCCUUUCCACACAGAUAUUCCACACUGAUUUCUCACUUGCUGCAGUUUUACAGAAAACUGAAGCCCUCUGCAGCGCCUGAACCGCAGCCGGACCUCGACUCCCCAGUGCGCGCUGCCAGGCAGCGGGCAGAGGCAGCCCACGCCCCUCCGACGCCUCAGGAACCAUCACCCCCCAAAGGGAACCCACAGCCACUUACCGCGCGCUUGAGCCACAGACAGAGCCCGCUGCGUGCUAAAUCCUGGAACACGAGUUAGUAGCAAACGAAGCCCGCACGACGCACGGCUUGGGGCCGCGACAGCACCCGAGCGGUCUGUGCUGCCGCCAGCCUGGCCGAGAACACGGCGUUCAGGCGGGGCCGGCCGCGGCGCGGCGCGAGGAGGGAACCGCUGGGAAGCUUCCCCAAUAGCUAUGUCUGACCACCCAGGAGGUGUUGCCCCAGUCCUGUUCUGGCGGUCUGAACUUUGUCAGCUACCCGGGUCAGACACGCUGUCUCCAGGUAUGGGCAGAGAGGCAGUUAAUGUUUCAGUUUAUUAACUCAGGGCAGGCUUAUCUUUCGGCAUAGCUGCUCCCACACCACCUUUUCCAAUCUGUGCCUCAGAAGGACGUACCUUACCGAUGCAGAGCAAGGGUCAACUGCUCUGUGCUCUUCAAUAAUUUAUUAAGAACUGGCACAGGCAGCAGCUUUGCUAGGUUGUACAGCUGUCCUAACAAACUGCAGAGUCUUCCACUGCUUCCGGCAACAAUCAACUUCCAGCACAAAAGGCAGAAAACACACGGCAUUCAUAACAACACACAACGGAGGGGAUGCAGACAGCACAUCAUUGUUUCAGAGAGGAACUCCUUCGUAAGCAAGAAAUCCGCCCAGAUGCUAUCACCAAACAUUAAAUCAAACAGCCCUCACGUUUUUGGCGCUCAGCUUGCUGUCGGGCCACAAAAAUGGUCCCUGCACACCUUCUGCCAGCAAAUCAGCGUUGCUCUCCGGGACAGGGCAGUACUACAAUGGAAGCGUAACACUGCAGGAUAGCAACAGCAACUUGCACGGACGUCACGAGCGUCCCCCGACAUCCCGACUCCCUGUCUUUGCGGCACCGAAAAAACACGGACUAGAACUAAACGCUUCAUUGCUUGAGGAUGGAUGAGACCGGCUCACCCGGACACAGCAACGCAGGACAGAAUUCCCCAGAUUGGAAAUCUGCAAACUCUAGAUCCAUCAUUAUUUUUACCAGGCAGAAGGGGCUAAUACAUGCCCUUCUCAUUGACACUGUAAUGAAAAAAACUGAUAUUUUCAAAUAAGCAGACUACAGAUUACAGUCUUUUAAUGUCACUACUAACUACAGAUGCUUGAUAGCACAGCUGAAAAGAAAAAACCGAUAGUGCUACUUGGACUAACAUCCCACUAGGAUAUUAUACAGGAAAAUAUUUCAUAUUACAGGAAAAAAAUAAUAUUUCUUGAAAGCAGAAAAUCAUCACGUAAGGCUAUCAAAGAUGAUUUGCCCUAACACGCCUCUAUAUGUGGGUACCUUCCGCAUAAUCUAUAGCCAGUGCAGAUUUCCUAGCAGACUUCAGGCAGUGUCUAGCAUUUCUCCCUUUACACAGCUGAAUUUCAGUUUCAGUGGGGUUACAGUUUUAUUUUUGAGAGGCUGGGAGCUAACAGAAAGUAAGGAUUAAAAGGAUCGUGUAAAUUACAAUUCCUAUUUUUGAUGGAAAAGGCCUCUUAAAAAGAAAGAUUUUCCAAAAUUCAUGGAAGUGAUGAAGCUCUGGAUUUGCACAGUCCUGUUUGGGAAGCUAUAUAUAGUUAUAUAUACGUAUGUGCAAGCGGAAUGAUUUUUUCUUAGCUACCACACGCUUAAUUUUCAUCGAUGAAAAACUGCACACAAUUCUUAUGGGAGGCUGACUGGGCAAAAAGUGUUUUGUGCUGCAAUGAGGCUGCAUAAAUUGCUUUAAAAUACAACUGAAGUUACUUGGGAGGGAUCUGAACACAUGCCUGAUAUCUUCCUGGCAGCCUGGACGAGGGGAAAAACAGC